rnacentral:rRNA from 1 species
UACAGAGACUGCGAGCGUUUAUUCGGAUUCACUGGGCGUAAAGGGUGCGCAGGCGGCCAAGUGUGUGAGGCGUGAAAGCCCGGGGCUUAACCCCGGAAUUGCACCUCAAACUACAUGGCUAGAGCAUUGGAGAGGGAAGCGGAAUUCACGGUGUAGCAGUGAAAUGCGUAGAUAUCGAGAGGAACACCUGCGGCGAAGGCGGGUAGCUGGGCCGGACACUGACGCUGAUGCGCGAAAGCCAGGGGAGCGAACGGG